GAUGAGAACGUAGCGAAAUGCGAUAAGUAAUGUGAAUUGCAGAAUUCAGUGAAUCAUCGAAUCUUUGAACGCACAUUGCGCCCGCCAGUAUUCUGGCGGGCAUGCCUGUUCGAGCGUCAUUACAACCCUCAGGCCCCCGGGCCUGGCGUUGGGGAUCGGCGGAGCCCCCCGUGGGCACACGCCGUCCCCCAAAUACAGUGGCGGUCCCGCCGCAGCUUCCAUCGCGUAGUAGCUAACACCUCGCGACUGGAGAGCGGCGCGGCCACGCCGUAAAACACCCAACUCUUCUGAAGUUGACCUCGAAUCAGGUAGGAAUACCCGCUGAACUUAAGCAUAUCAAUAAGCGGAGGA
rnacentral:misc_RNA from 1 species